rnacentral:rRNA from 1 species
UACGAAGGGGGCGAGCGUUGUUCGGAUUUACUGGGCGUAAAGGGCGCGCAGGCGGUUCUGUUUGUCGAGUGUGAAAGCCCCGGGCUCAACCUGGGAACUGCGCUCGAAACGGCGGAACUAGAGUUCGGGAGAGGAGAGUGGAAUUCCCAGUGUAGAGGUGAAAUUCGUAGAUAUUGGGAAGAACACCGGCGGCGAAGGCGACUCACUGGACACGUAUUGACGCUGAGGUGCGAAAGCGUGGGGAGCAAACAGG